UACGUAGGGGGCAAGCGUUAUCCGGAUUUACUGGGUGUAAAGGGAGCGUAGACGGCCAGACAAGUCUGAAGUGAAAAUCCAGCGCUUAACGUUGGAAGUGCUCUGGAAACUGCCGGGCUAGAGUGCGGGAGGGGCAGGCGGAAUUCCUAGUGUAGCGGUGAAAUGCGUAGAUAUUAGGAGGAACACCAGUGGCGAAGGCGGCCUGCUGGACUGCAACUGACGUUGAGGCUCGAAGGCGUGGGGAGCAAACAGG
rnacentral:rRNA from 1 species